CCUACGGGUGGCUGCAGUGAGGAAUAUUGGUCAAUGGACGAGAGCCUGAACCAGCCAAGUAGCGUGAAGGAUGACUGCCCUACGGGUUGUAAACUUCUUUUAUAAGGGAAUAAAGUGCAGUACGUGUGCCGUUUUGUAUGUACUAUAUGAAUAAGGAUCGGCUAACUCCGUGCCAGCAGCCGCGGUAAUACGGAGGAUCCGAGCGUUAUCCGGAUUUAUUGGGUUUAAAGGGAGCGUAGAUGGGUGCUUAAGUCAGUUGUGAAAGUUUGCGGCUCAACCGUAAAAUUGCAGUUGAUACUGGCUGCCUUGAGUACAGCUGAGGUAGGCGGAAUUCGUGGUGUAGCGGUGAAAUGCUUAGAUAUCACGAAGAACUCCGAUUGCGAAGGCAGCUUACUAAACUGCCACUGACAUUGAUGCUCGAAAGUGUGGGUAUCAAACAGGAUUAGAUACCCGAGUAGUC
rnacentral:rRNA from 1 species